CCCCCUUCUGCCAUCUUUGGGGGAGAAGAUUCACCUCCAAGGAACCUGAUUUAGGGGAGAGAUUGGAAGCAAAUAUCUGUGUCACCAGAGGCUGCUUUGGGCUGAGGCCUCGGGGAACCCCUGAACAUCCAGGCUCAGAGAUGGGGCAGAAUUGUUUCCUGCACAGACCUGUAGAGAUGCAUUAACAGCCUUCUUACACUAAGAAUAAAAACUUGCCUUUUCAGUCUGA